GAUGAAGAACGUAGCGAAAUGCGAUAAGUAGUGUGAAUUGCAGAAUUCAGUGAAUCAUCGAAUCUUUGAACGCACAUUGCGCCCCUUGGUAUUCCAUGGGGCAUGCCUGUUCGAGCGUCAUUUGUACCUUCAAGCUUUGCUUGGUGUUGGGUGUUUGUCUCGCCUUUGCGUGUAGACUCGCCUUAAAAUAAUUGGCAGCCGGCGUAUUGAUUUCGGAGCGCAGUACAUCUCGCGCUUUGCACUCAUAACGACAGCGUCCAAAAGUACAUUUUACACUCUUGACCUCGGAUCAGGUAGGGAUACCCGCUGAACUUAAGCAUAUCAAUAAGCGGACGA
rnacentral:misc_RNA from 1 species